UCAUCUUUGAUUUCCUGAUCUCUUAAGAACUCGUUCAUUCACAUUUUUCCUUCACAGAGUUUAUGGUAUGAACCCUAAUAUACCAUAAAUCAAAACCAGAAAUCAAAACUAACCUUUUGACAGGAAAUCUAUAAGCAUAUACCGAGUUUGGGUAACCUAAUCUCAGGGGUAUAUGUGCCUACUGUGGCUUCUCAAGUUGUGAAGGGUAACUAUCCUUACUGAUCCGAUGAACUGUGACUUAUACUUGAAAAACUAAAAGCACAAUCUUAGCAAAAAUGAGAACUUUUUCAGGUCUUGCAGCCGGUAUAAAGCCUGUACUGAACUUCAAGGGUUAUAUGGUAAGAAAUGAGGCAACUGAUUUGGAAUCACUCUAAGAUGGU